CUCACCUUCCAGUGAAGCGGAGGGGUCUUUGGUCCCGGGCUCCUCGGCCUCGGGGCCACUCUCUGUGGGCCCCACGUCGUCUGGGGUCUCCUCGCUGCUGCUGCUGCUGGAGGCCUGCUCCUCCUGCUCCACCUGCUCCUUCUCCACCUCCUCAGGGGACUCGUCGGACUCCUUCAGCAUCUCGUCCAGCUCCUCUGCUAGCUUCUGUUCCGACUCCUCGCUCGACUCGUUGGAUUCGGAGACCUCGCUAGCCUCACCGGCCUCGUUAGCCUUGUUAGCCUCGCUAGAGUCGCUAGCAUCACCAGCGUCGCUGGCGUCGCUAGAUUCGCUAGACUUGCUAGAUUCGCUAGAGUCGCUAGAGUCGCUAGCAUCGCUGGCAUCGAUAGCCUUGCUAGCAUUGCUGGCCUCGCCAGCCAUGGUAACCUCGCUGGAGUCGCUAACCUCGCUAUUGUCGCUAGAGUCGCUGUCCUCGCUAGACUCGCUGUCCUCGCUAGACUCGGUAGCCUUGGUAACCUCGCCGGAGUCGCUAACCUCGCUAUUCUCGCUAGAGUCGCUAUCCUCGCUAGCCUUGGUAACCAUGGCAACCUCGUCAGACUCGCUAGCCGCGGGAGCCUCGAUAGAGUCGUUAACCUCUUUAUUCUCGCUAGAGUCGCUAUCCUCGCUAGCCUUGGUAACCAUGGGAACCUCGUCAGACUCGCUAGCCGCGGUAGCCUCGAUAGAGUCGUUAACCUCUUUAUUCUCGCUAGAGUCGCUAUCCUCGCUAGCCUCGGUAACCAUGGCAACCUCGUCAGACUCGCUAGCCGCGGUAGCCUCGAUAGAGUCGUUAACCUCUUUGUUCUCGCUAGAGUCGCUAUCCUCGCUAGCCUCGGUAACCAUGGCAACCUCGUCAGACUCGCUAGCUGCGGUAGCCUCGAUAGAGUCGUUAACCUCUUUGUUCUCGCUAGAGUCGCUAUCCUCGGUAGCCUUGGUAACCAUGCUGGAGUCGUUAACCUCUCUAUUGUCGCUAGAGUCGCUAUCCUCACUAGCUUCGGUAGCCUUGGUAACCAUGCUGGAGUCGUUCACCUCUUUAUUCUCGCUAGAGUCGCUAUCCUCGGUAGCCUUGGUAUAUUCCCUAGGGUCGUUAACCUCUCUAUUCUCGCUCGAGUCGUUAACCCAGCUAGCCGUGGUAACCAUGGUAACCUUGUCAGACUCGCUAGGCUUGCCGGACUGUCCAGCCUCGUCAGAGUCGUCAUUAUUAUCAUCAGCAUCAUCUGCCACACCAGCGGCGGUGCUAUCGUUCUUCUGGUCUGACUCUGGCUCCUCCUCUUCCUCUGAACUUUCCUUUUCUGGUCCACAUCCUUCUCCUCCUGGCUGCUGUCUCCUCCUGGCUGUGGGUCCUCCUGGUCGUUCACCUGCUCCUGGGAUUCUGCAGCGUCGGGCGAGUCUGUGAUCAGGUCUGGAAGGGGAGCAGAAACAGCUUUUCUCUGGUACGCCUUCAACACAUGUCCUUGGUGAGUUUCUGAGCCCCAGAUCCAGAUGGUUAAGACAGGUUAGUUGAGAGUUUU
ensembl:lncRNA